AAGAGACAGCAGUCGCCACGGUAAUACAGAGGGUGCGAGCGUUAAUCGGAUUUACUGGGCGUAAAGCGUGCGUAGGCGGCUUUUUAAGUCGGAUGUGAAAUCCCUGAGCUUAACUUAGGAAUUGCAUUCGAUACUGGGAAGCUAGAGUAUGGGAGAGGAUGGUAGAAUUCCAGGUGUAGCGGUGAAAUGCGUAGAGAUCUGGAGGAAUACCGAUGGCGAAGGCAGCCAUCUGGCCUAAUACUGACGCUGAGGUACGAAAGCAUGGGGAGCAAACAGGAUUAGAUACCCCUGUAGUCCCUGUCUCUUAUAC
rnacentral:rRNA from 1 species